GACGAACGCUGGCGGCGUGCUUAACACAUGCAAGUCGAACGGAAAGGCCCUGCUUUUGUGGGGUGCUCGAGUGGCGAACGGGUGAGUAACACGUGAGUAACCUGCCCUUGACUUUGGGAUAACUUCAGGAAACUGGGGCUAAUACCGGAUAGGAGCUCCUGCUGCAUGGUGGGGGUUGGAAAGUUUCGGCGGUUGGGGAUGGACUCGCGGCUUAUCAGCUUGUUGGUGGGGUAGUGGCUUACCAAGGCUUUGACGGGUAGCCGGCCUGAGAGGGUGACCGGCCACAUUGGGACUGAGAUACGGCCCAGACUCCUACGGGAGGCAGCAGUGGGGAAUAUUGCACAAUGGGAGGAAGCCUGAUGCAGCAACGCCGCGUGCGGGAUGACGGCCUUCGGGUUGUAAUCCGCUUUCGCCUGUGACGAAGCGUGAGUGACGGUAAUGGGUAAAGAAGCACCGGCUAACUACGUG
rnacentral:rRNA from 1 species